rnacentral:lncRNA from 1 species
CUGCUCCUCCCCACAGCACCUCACCGAUGCUCUCAUCGUCCAUGGUCAUGGACCCUGCGCUGCCGCCCCGCUGCCAAGACCUUGCCUUCAGGAACCCUAUGUAAGAGCGUGGCUGGAGGGGGGCACCCUGCCCUGCCCCCCCUUCCCCUGGUCCCAGGGCAUGCACAUGGGGGGUGGGGGGGACCAGUGCUGACCAGUGCUCCCAGUGCUCUGCCCAACUGGUGCUGCCCACGAGGAGAUGCGCUCCAGCCUCCAAACCAAGCGCUUCUCUCCUGCGUCCUGGGGCUGCCAAGCACCCCAGGGGAGGGAGGUGCCCCCUCCAUCGGCCCCCUUUCCCCCUUUUGCCCCCCCCAGGAGCUUUAUGACCAACCAGUACAUGCCCGGGGAGGCCUCCCAGCUGCUGCCCGGAGGCCCCUCGCCAGAGCCGCGGGAUGAGGAGAUGCCCGAGCUGGCCCCGUUCACGCCAAUGGACGCGCCGCUGCAGAGCUCCCCAAGGUGGAUGGCGCCCAGCAUGGACCUGCCGCCCAGCUCGGAGUUCGACCAGUUCCUCCAGGAGAUGUCCCUGGAGAGCCCCGCGCUCUGCCCCCCCUUCACGCCCCCCCUGCAGCGCAGCGGAUACCCCAGCCCCAACGCUUCGUGCUGGGGGCUGGGGGAGUCCCGGUGGGAUGACAGCGUGCGGCCGGGGCACGCGUGAGGGGGCCACGGGGGCCGUGGGACUGUGAGCCCCGACGCAGCCUCGUCUGGGCUCCUGGACUUGACACGAUUUGCGCCGGGGUAGCAAACUCUGGCAGGGGAGGGGAGGGAAUUUUCCGGGGGGAGGCAGCACUUCGGGUGACACCCUGCCCCCCCCCCAACCUGUGUAUACGCUGCACUUUGGAGCACGGAGCCGCUGCCUGCCCUUGCCGCUGCCAGCGGGGGGGCCCCGACCCGCGUGGGGGUGCCCCCGGCCUCGCCGCCAAGCUCGGUGCCCCCAGCCCACGCUGCCGGG